rnacentral:rRNA from 1 species
AGCAGCCGCGGUAAUUCCAGCUCCAAUAGCGUAUAUUAAAGUUGUUGCAGUUAAAAAGCUCGUAGUUGAAUUUCGGGACCAAUCUGCCGGUCGUGCCUCCGGUACGCACUGGUUUUAUUGGUUUCUCCCUUCUGACGAACCAUGAUGUCAUUAAUUUGGUGUCAUGGGGAAUCAGGACUGUUACUUUGAAAAAAUUAGAGUGUUUAUAGCAGGCUUACGCUUGAAUACAUUAGCAUGGAAUAAUGAAAUAGGACGUUUGACCCUAUUUUGUUGGUUUCUAGGAUCGACGUAAUGAUUAAUAGGGAUAGUUGGGGGCAUUAGUAUUCAAUUGUCAGAGGUGAAAUUCUUGGAUUUAUUGAAGACUAACUACUGCGAAAGCAUUUGCCAAGGAUGUUUUCAUUAAUCAAGAACGAAAGUUAGGGGAUCGAAGACGAUCAGAUACCGUCGUAGUCUUAACCAUAAACUAUGCCGACUAGGGAUCGGAUGAUGUUAAUUUUUAAUGACUCAUUCGGCGCCUUAA